rnacentral:misc_RNA from 1 species
GAUGAAGAACGUAGCGAAAUGCGAUAAGUAAUGUGAAUUGCAGAAUUCAGUGAAUCAUCGAAUCUUUGAACGCACAUUGCGCCCAUUAGCAUUCUAGUGGGCAUGCCUGUUCGAGCGUCAUUUCAACCCUUAAGCCCUGUUGCUUAGCGUUGGGAGCCUACAGUACCGUAGCUCCCCAAAGUUAGUGGCGGAGUCGGUUUCACACUCUAGACGUAGUAAUUUUUUCUCGUCUGUAGUUGAGCCGGUCCCCUGCCGUAAAACACCCAAUUUAUCAAGGUUGACCUCGGAUCAGGUAGGAAUACCCGCUGAACUUAAGCAUAUCAAUAAGCGGAGGA